AUUGAACGCUGGCGGCAUGCCUUACACAUGCAAGUCGAACGGUAACAGGUCUUCGGAUGCUGACGAGUGGCGAACGGGUGAGUAAUACAUCGGAACGUGCCCGAUCGUGGGGGAUAACGGAGCGAAAGCUUUGCUAAUACCGCAUACGAUCUACGGAUGAAAGCAGGGGACCGCAAGGCCUUGCGCGGACGGAGCGGCCGAUGGCAGAUUAGGUAGUUGGUGGGAUAAAAGCUUACCAAGCCGACGAUCUGUAGCUGGUCUGAGAGGACGACCCGCCACACUGGGGAGGGGACACGGGCCAGACUCCUAAGGGAGGCAGCAGUGGGGAAUUUUGGACAAUGGGCGCAAGCCUGAUCCAGCCAUGCCGCGUGCAGGAUGAAGGCCUUCGGGUUGUAAACUGCUUUUGUACGGAACGAAAAGACUCUGGUUAAUACCUGGGGUCCAUGACGGUACCGUAAGAAUAAGCACCGGCUAACUACGUGCCAGCCGCCGCCGUAACAC
rnacentral:rRNA from 1 species